AACCAUCACAAUAGGUAUAUCUAUGGAAACGGAUAUCUUAAAAUAAAAUCUAUUGGGACGGUUCAGAUUCCCUCCUUAUUUUCCCCCUUCUAUUUUUCGCAAAACCCUAACCUUUUGAGUGGAGUUUUUUUAGUUGCUAAUAUUUCUAAGCCUGAUGAGAGACAAAGUAGUACUCUAAGACCUUUUGUUGCCAAGUCCAAAUCGAUAGUUGAAUCCAAAAUAUAGCAUCUUGAUAUAACACUCCUAAAGAAGAAUCCAUCAUUUUGAAGCGACAAAAUGGAGGUCUAUUCUGCCUAUGGAGGUCGCAAAUCUGGACUUCUAAAGAACAUAGAUUUUUCUUCUAUCGCUAGGUCCCAUUUCGCUGGUAAAGGUCGCCGAUCUGGGCUGCCAAAGAACUCAUUAUUUUAUUGCACAACUAGGUCUAUUAUCGAGCAAAGCCAACCCCAUUUCACAUUUAGUUCCUUUCGGUGGAAUCAAAUACUAUCGAAUUUGUGCUAAGGCUUUUUGGUAGCAAAUGGGCACAACCAGUAGUGCCAGAAUCUGCAGCGUUACCUGCUGGCCAUUUGCAUAGUUUUGGAUUCAAGAUUAUCUCGAAGGUGCAAAGAUUGCGGAUGAAACCAGUGAAGUAGACCUUACUUGAAAGUUCUAUUAUCAUGUUCAAUAUUUUAGUUUAGAACUUUUUGUAUGCAAACUCAUCUAUUUUGACUUUUGAAUUGUUGAUCAAACAAUGUAUUCAUAUUUUGUUUUUGUAUAUGGAUAAAGCUAGUUGAAUAUUUUUAUUUUA